CAGGGCAGGGAAGGUGGGAGAG
rnacentral:miRNA from 1 species